rnacentral:rRNA from 1 species
UACGUAGGUCCCGAGCGUUGUCCGGAUUUAUUGGGCGUAAAGCGAGCGCAGGUGGUUUAUUAAGUCUGGUGUAAAAGGCAGUGGCUCAACCAUUGUAUGCAUUGGAAACUGGUAGACUUGAGUGCAGGAGAGGAGAGUGGAAUUCCAUGUGUAGCGGUGAAAUGCGUAGAUAUAUGGAGGAACACCGGUGGCGAAAGCGGCUCUCUGGCCUGUAACUGACACUGAGGCUCGAAGGCGUGGGUAGCGAACAGG